rfam:Gossypium raimondii Chr13_contig_407, whole genome shotgun sequence.
AUUCCGUGAUGAGGGCACUUCUGUAAUAAUUCUUUGUACCUUUCCCAUGCCUCAUACAGGGACUCAUCAUCCAUUUGUUGGAAAGCAGUAAUCUCGAUCCUCAACUU